rnacentral:rRNA from 1 species
UACGUAGGGGGCAAGCGUUGUCCGGAUUUAUUGGGCGUAAAGCGCUCGGCAGGCGGCUCGGAUGCGUCGUGGCGUUGAAACACCCCGGCUCAACUGGGGAGGGUCGUGCGAUACGGUCGGGCUGGAGCCAGUAGGGGGAUGCGGAAUUCCGGGGUGUAGCGGUGGAAUGCGUAGAGAUCCGGAAGAACACCGGUGGCGAAGGCGGCCUGCUGGGGCAGUGCUGGA